ensembl:lncRNA
UUUUUUUUUUUUUUUUUUUUUUUAAUUUUUAAAGAUUUUUUUAGCCCUCCCUGCCUUUUAAAGUCUGAGGUAAAUAAGGGUUCUUAAGAUUUCUAUGUUUCCUCUCCAAUGGCAGAACUUGAAAUGAGAUGCCUACAACCAGGUUAAAUACAUAGGAUAGAAAAGCUGUUUCAUGUUCCUUAUUUUCAUAUCACUACUACUAUCAGGGUCCAAUUCCUUUCAAUUUGUUAACACUGUUCUUCAUAAUUCCUUUAUCCAAUCUAGAAAAAUGAAACUUAGGUGACCAAAGCAGGUAAACAGCCCAGCCCUGCCAAGAACUGUUUUUAAAAGAGGAGGGCAGGUCUAUAAAGAUAUAAGGUAUCCCUUGAAGUCUUAGCACAAUUUUAAGCUUUGAUAUUUGUAGGAGUAUAAAUGCUACACACUUACAAAACAUCAUUUGAAAGUUAAAUUUCUUCUAAACUCAUUUAGUUUUGUAAAUUUUUUUUUUUUUUUUUUUUGUCUUUUUGCCAUUUCUUGGGUCGUUCCCGCGGCAUAGGGAGCUGCCCAAGAAAAUGGCAAAAAAAUAAAACUUACAAAAUUAAGUUGAAAAGUAAACUAUCAAGUGAUGUUUUGCCAGUCUGUAGCAUUUAUACUAAUGCAGCAGUGUCCUGGAGUGUCUAAGCACACUAUAUUAAAGCUUAAGAUUGCACUAAGACUUUUGGGUCACCUUCUAUUUCACUACCCGCUUGUUAACUACUGGACCACCAUGUUGGUUGGAAUUAUGGAAGAUAAUAUAAGUACUGUACCCUUUAAUACAAGUAUUUAACAGAGAGAAAAAUCAUCAGAAAAAUCCUGGAGUGUCUAAGCACACUAUAUUAAAGCUUAAGAUUGCACUAAGACUUUUGGGACACCUUCUAUUUCACUACCCGCUUGUUAACUACUGGACCACCAUGUUGGUUGGAAUUAUGGAAGAUAAUAUAAGUACUGUACCCUUUAAUACAAGUAUUUAACAGAGAGAAAAAUCAUCAGAAAAUCAGAAGCACCAUUAUAAGUUCACAAGAAAUGCAGCACGGACCCAGUAGAAGUAGGUAAUAACAUACUUUCUCUGUUUAUGAUUCCCAACAGGCUAAUAUAUGUUAAGUAGUGCUUGCAAAGAAUUUCAAUGACGUUGUUAUUCAGCAGCUUUUUGGUUUAAACUGAUUGCCAAUAAUGACUAGCAGCUUCAGUGAUACAGUAGGGAGGAAUAAUCUUUCAAAACCUAACAAUGCUACAACAGUCUGUUUCUAAGUGGCUUUAUGAGUUGUUAGGAGUCCCAUGUUUCAAUGGUAAUACUGCAUUGAUUCUAAAGGAAUAUGCAGCAAUAUAGGGGAGGGGGGCAAGAAAAAUAGGAAAAACAUAGAAGUUAUAUAGUUAGUGUCUUUUAAAAUCUAAAAAUUUAAACUAUUAAAAAACCACAUAGUUCACAGCUAUCAGCCUACACAGUAAGCAAAUGCCUGUGUGUUGGUUGGGAGCUUUUAGCUUUGGAGUGGUUUUUGUAACUCUGUUUAUAUUAAAAAGGACAGAAGUGUGUGUUGCAUUGACAGGGAUGCAUUGCAUUCUUUCCUAGGAGCAUAAUCCUCGCUGUCCUUGAGUCUUUUGAAUUCAACAUUUUUCUUUCAGGUGAAAAUACUAACUUUGCUG